GUAUUUCUCUCUCUGCGCCAACCAGCACUGCUUGCUCACGCCUGUUUCUCCUUUUCCUUGCCGGUGGGGAGGUCAUGGGAUGCGCAAGCACUUUGUCUCUUGCUUUGUUUUCAGUCGCCAUAUUUAAUCUACGUCGAAACUUCAAAAUAACAUUAGGGGGAAAAAUGUAGCGUCAUGUUUAUCAGACGAGGACCUGAGCUUAACAAGCGAUUGAGAGAAAAUCCUUGGGAAGCUGUUAAAAUUUGUGUGUCAAUGCGUUUGUUAUUCUUUUAACCAGUACUCACUGAAUACCUGUAUGUCAGGCUCUCGAGGAAUACAGUACAGACAUGGGAGUGGAGACGGGGUUUCACCGUGGUCUCGAUCUCCUGACGUCGUGAUCCGCCCGCCUCGGCCUCCCAAAGUGCUGGGAUUACAGGCGUGAGCCACCAAGCCCGGCCUCCAGUCACGAUUUUAGGUGUGUACAAUUGACACACCUAAAGACAAACUGGUACAGGAAGAUUUGCCUCACCCGCUCUUCUGGAAGUAUGGUUUUGGAUCACCUAUCCAGAUGGACCAGAGCUCUUGUUAAAAGUGCAGGCUUAGUCGCUCUGUUGCCCAGGCUGAAGAGCAGUGGGCGAUCUCAGCUGAGUGCAAGCUCCACCUCCCGGGUUCACACCAUUCUCCUGCCUCAGCCUCCGGAGUAGCUGGGACUACAGGCGCCCGCCACCACGCCCAGCUAAUCUUUUUGUAUUUUUAGUAGAGACAGGGUUUCACCGUGUUAGCCAGGAUAGUCUCGAUCUCUUGACCUCGUGAUCCACCCGCCUCGGCCUCCCAAAGUGCUGGGAUUACAGGCAUGAGCCACUGCACCCGGCCUAAAAGCCUCUUCUAAGAAAGGUUCCACAGGCUUCACCAGCCUUCCAAAGAGGUCCGCUGCACACAAAAGUUUCAGAAUUUCUGGUGUAUUAGGCCUACUGGAUCUUUUUCUGAAACCAUGAACAAUCAAAAGAGUAAUAUAACCAAUGACAAUUCCUUGAAAAUUAACGUCUGAAAAAGCUUCUUGGGAGAAUUUGAUCUGUGAUUGAAAGGAUAAACAGAAUUACAGAGGAGAAGUGAUUACACUCAGGGAAAAUGGAAAUGUAAGCAAAGCUACUGUUUCAGAUCAACUGCCCUAGAAGCAGAGCCCAAGACAGGGAUUCUAUGCAAUUGACCUGUUGAAGGAGUGCUCUCAGGAGAAACACAUCAGAAGGUGAAUGAGCAGAAUAUGGAGGGGAAGGAGCUCAGCAAGAUGUGGCCUCAGCCAGAGUCCACCUCAGCCCCAUCUCCUGGGGAGCUCUGGAGCAUUAGUGACAACUCAAGGUUGUCAUGAUUUGAGACAAGGCUUAACAACCCUGCUUUGCCCCUGCAUGGCAUAGGCCAGGGCCAAUCCUUCAGAGAAGGGGGAAGCUUUGAGCCGUUAGUGGCAAAUACCUGAAGCAACUGGGGGAAUGGAUACACCAGCUUGCCAAGAGGACCUGGCCAAGGCAGACACUACCUUGCGGAGGUGACAGUGAACAUAGCGUGCUGACGAACAGUGAGGUGGGCAGAUAUAUUUGAGGAGAUGAGUUAUAGUGAGGAUUGGUGAGUAAGUAGGACUGGUGCAUGUUCAAGGUCCGAGAGAAACAGAGAGAGUUUUGUGAGCAAUACUAAGCACCCUGUUGAGGUUGGUGACCAUGAAGUUUAUUGUGGUGCAAUUGUGUGUGAUUUCACGGUGAGAGCAAACCAAAAGUGAGUUCAUCCAAAAGUGAUAUUUUGCUAGAGAGUGGUACAAGGGAGUUGAGAGUGUUGGCAAAAUGGGAUCAGGAGGCAAGUGAAGACAGAAGAGAUCUAAUCAACAGGCAGCUGAGGAAAGAAUCAAAGACCCCCCCAAAAUAUUCAAAGAGUAGUACUUGUGGGAGUUGUUGAGCAAGUAACAUGGGAAGAGAGGACGCUGCUUCCACCAGUGGUUUUGGAGGUGGAGUAGAUGCUGGUGAUAAUGAAGUCCCAGAUAGGAAAUGGGAGUGGAUGCCAAGGAGAUCUCAAGGACCCUGCAGAUGAGGACUCAAACCCACAAUAUUGAUGAGGCAUCCAUGUCACCAUGGGAGUCAACGAGGAUAGUGGCCUCAGCUGAGGCAGGGAAAAGCUGGGAUCCAAGUGACAUAGUCUUCUCUUGAUAAGCAAGAGAGACCAGGAGAUGAGAGAUGGCAGAGAAUGAGAGAGGUGAUAUCAGUUACCAGAAAGAGCCCCUAAAAGGCAACACUUCUUUUUUUCCAUUAGUUUUAAUAUAGAAUUUUGCUUUAGUACUUUUAAUUAGAUAACCCUCUUUUAAAAAUAUAUAUUUUUUAAAAUAUAUUUUUUUCUUACCAUACCAACUCACAGCCCCAAUCUUUUUGCCCUAACCUCAGAAUCAGUUAGUUGUCCGCUUUAAAACCCUUUUCUUACACACACACACACACACACACACAGAAUAUAUAGUAUUGUUUUUGGUGUAUGAGUGUGUGCGUCGGAAUAAAUGGUUUCAUACUCUAUAUA
rnacentral:lncRNA from 1 species